AGGUGUAGAUUGCCAUUCAACUG
rnacentral:miRNA from 1 species